rfam:Trichobilharzia regenti genome assembly, scaffold: TRE_scaffold0070993
AUCCAGUGACGAGUCCGAAAUAGGACGAAAUGCGCAUCCUGGAU